CUUCCCCAACUAUCAACAUUGCCAUUACCACUCUGCUAAAACCUCAUCUCCAAACUCCAAACGAACCCACCAGUCUUUUCUCCCUCCCUCUUCACCCCCUUCUUUCAUCAACAACUCCCACUACAAAUAUCAACCCUUUCUCAUCACAAAAUCCCAUGUCCCUCAAACGGAGGACUAAAGUUUCAUUCUUUUCUAUGUUUUUCACACAAGAGAGAGAUGUGAAGGGCCUCAAAGAUGAGCUUUUUUUAUGUCAUAUCACCUCUCGAUCGUGGCACCGAGGCUACCCCAGAGGAUCGAGAGCGUGUGGAUCAGGUUGCACUCAAACUCGAGGAGUGAAUAGGGGAAAUGAGCCUCUUGAAUCUAACUUGUUGAAUAGAAAAUGGAAGCUUUUGUACACAACAUCCAAACCAGAUUUGCAAACAAAGAGGCCAAAGUUCUUGAGACCCAAUGGAAAGAUCUACUGAUGAUGAACCGGUGAAUCAUAUUAUUUGUGUAGGAAAUGUGCAUCUCAACAUAUCGCCAUCCCAAUUAUUGCUGAGAUAGAUCUCUACAAGUUUGAUCAAUGACAACUUCCAGAUAUGGUGUUGUACAGUGGAAUACCCAAACGGAAGUCGGCCGAACCGGACGGCCAGAAUGGUAUACUGGAAGGCAAAUUUUACAAUUUUAUAUUUUAA